GACCUGUUGGCGCAGUUGGAAGCGCGUCCGUGUAAAUGUCUGCAUUCUGUUCGCAGACUUGUGCGGGAGGCCUCGGUUUGAGCCCGGGACAGGUCA